GCAGGAGCGGGAGCGGGAGCGGGUGCGGGUGCGGGUCCGGGUGCGGGGGAGCGGAGGCACCUAGAAGCUCCUAAGAUUGGGAGCGCCUAAGGAGUGUAUAUAGAUUUCAUAUAAACACCUAUAAAAAGUAUCUUUAUAUACUUAACCAUUGAAGGAAAAGUGAUUACUUAUGAGAAUUUUCACGAUCUUAAAGGGUACUUAUAGGAAGUUAGAUAUUUUCAAUUUGCAGAACUUCUUGAGUGAUAAGAUUUUCAUAUUUUUAUUUUCACAAUGUCAUAACUCCCUUAAGAGUAUGAGAGAAUAGUUGCCUUAACCGCCCAAUAAGCUCCCAUCUUGGAAGCGCCAAUUCGAGCUCCUGUCUUGGGAGCGCACCCAUUUUAGAAGGAUCCUGCUACUAAGCCUUGGAGUACCAUAUGCACAUGAGCAUCCAAAGCUAUGUGAGCAUAACAGCUUAAUAUUCUGAGACAGAAUAAUACUCCAGCAAAAAUAUGAAAAGGAAAAAGUACAUUACGGAGAACUUUUAAUGCGACGCUGUCAUGGACCCAUGGUAACGUGCCUAAGGUGCCAUUAGCUACUGGUAAAAUAAGAUCAGAACAGCUCUUUCUAUUCAAGUAUUCAUAAAGCAUGCAUAUUUAACUAAGUAUGGCAAUACAGUUAAUUCGUAUAGAAUAAAGGAAAAAAUUUCCAAGAAGAACAAAGCACUCAGGAACAUAGAAAUGAGAAAUAUAUUACGAGCAAGAGUAAAGGGCCAAUAAUCUGAAAAGCAUAGACUAUCCAAUGAAGACAGUAUCCAUGUCACGAUCUAAACUUCUCAACACUAUGGAUGUCAGCCCAAAAAAUUCUAAAAUAGGUCACCUAAAAAAAGAUCUUGCUAAUUCCGCAAAAUAGGAGAACGUUCUCAAGCAAAAGAAAUUAUCUGAGGCUUACAGGGCCAUCUUCAUCGGGUGUGUCGCAUGCUUAUUUAGAUUAAACCUCAAAAAAUGUUUGCACCUUGUUGUUGAUUCAUAAAUGGAAAUGUCAUUAUCAAAUGGAAGCUCGGUUUCAAGCUGCCACUGCAGUGACAACUCACAAAAACCUAGACGACCCUAGAAGGCACCUCUAGAGGUUACCUAAGCUGUUAACUAGGAACCUAGGUUGUCUCCUAAGAUCUGCGCCAAAAUGUCGAUGUAUUGGUCCAACCACUGAAUUGUGCAUAGAGGAAAGUAAUUAAUAUAAUUUAAUACUAGGAAACUAGCUUCCGAACAAAGUUGAGUUGUUUAUUAUGGGGCGACAAGUACUUGGUAAAAGUAGGCAAAACACAACAAUGAAACAAAACAAAUAAGAUUAACUCACAUAGUAGAGAACCACUUCUAGUGAAGUUGGUUGUUCAUCUCCCUCCCCUAGUGGUGACCAGGAUUCGAGUCCCAGGGGGGCAGGGAUUUGGGGGCUAGGGCUAUGGAUAGCCUCUGGACCUUCCUGUGCUAACUCUAACACCCCCACUAAUCCCCGUUGAUAUAUACAAUGUUGCAAAAAAACAAAAAAAACUCAUACAUAGUAGUAGAUGCACAUAAAUGUUUAAUUGUUGAUCUAGUGUACAAGUGGCAAAACUACCCGCAAAACACAUUCUCAAUCAACUAACCGCAGCAAAAUCAAUUCAGCGCAGACAAGUCAAAAAAUAAGAGAUCAAUACGCCAAAUAACAUAAAACAAUGCCAACCCAUCAGGAUAGUUACAACAGUAAAAUUUUGAACUUCUCAAUUUACGCCCUUGUGCUCUUCCCUUUUCUUUACAUCACCGCCGCUUAAAUCCUUCAAAUACUCACAUGGGUCGACUCAACUGAUCAAGCUAAGUUCAAAAAACCUAAGCAUGCAACUAAAAAUCACUACUUUAGUCACUUGCAAGGUCCCAAAUGUCCAACAUUUACUUCCACACUAAUCAAAUAGUAUACAUGCAAUAACACGACUAGCAUGCAAGUCUCAAUUAAACUGUAAACAUACUACUGUCGAAUUGGCCAUAACUCCGCACCCAUUGCACCAAAAAUAACAUCUUUUAUUCAGUACGAAGUCAAGAGUCCAAAUUCUAGGGUUUGCACGCAAUGCACUUUUGGAGCAAAUUUCUAGGGCUCGUGUCACCAUGGAUCAAAAAAUCACCUGAAUCCCAAAAGUACAAACAAAAUUGCCAGCUGGAGCUGACACCGAAACCUCCUCGAAACCUGCUCUCUCUUCUAGGGUUUUGGUUUGAUGCAACGAGCCUCAGUUCAGAACACACGAGUUAGCCCUAGAAUUGUCAGCCAUGGAAGCAUUGAGUCCCUUCUCAAACUCUUCUCCCCCUAUACGAUCAGUUGCAUGAUAUACGUACGGAUAGUUUGCGUGGAGUAUUUCUAUUCUGGUUCGUCUUCGUGCUCCUUCCCUACAACUCUCUUUUCUCUCUCCUGGUGUAAUUUUUCUCUCUCUAAAACUGCAAUCGAU